CCUACGGGAGGCAGCAGUAGGGAAUCUUCCACAAUGGACGAAAGUCUGAUGGAGCAACGCCGCGUGAACGAUGAAGGCUUUCGGGUCGUAAAGUUCUGUUGUAAGGGAAGAACAAGUGCCGCAGGCAAUGGCGGCACCUUGACGGUACCUUGCGAGAAAGCCACGGCUAACUACGUGCCAGCAGCCGCGGUAAU
rnacentral:rRNA from 1 species